ensembl:lncRNA
GUAAGGUUAGCGGCUAAACUCCGGUGUCAGCAGGGAGCGCAGCGCUAACGCUAGCAACCCCAGCCUGCGGGUUCCCGUGGAGACAGGCCACGGUUACCCGGUAUUUGUCUCGCCUUUGUUUUAUUUACAUUUCAGGUUGCGGUUUCCAGUGCUUGGCAAGUGGAUACGUGAUCCGGUUUUCACAUUGCCUCUUUCUCUGGGUAUCACUGUGCAUGCAACAGAGUCUGGCUUCAAACGAGAUUCUCAAGCUCCGCCUCCUGAGUACUGGCUUGACAAGCAUGAACAGAACCAGUUUUUUCCUAACACCAGAGAUCCUUAGGAUGCUCCUGGCUGGCUACAGAAUCGACUUAGAAGUCAAUGGUGUGUGAGACCACAGAGCAGCAGCUGCAUAGAGAAUUUAGAGAAACUACAAGUACACGGCCCAAGAUUACUCUCGAGCCAGGAGUAGCAACUGUAAUCCCUCCACAGGUGGAUAUGGGAAUUCUGUAACCUUAAAUUCAAGGUGACGCUUCCACAGGGUACUCAGGAGAUUAUCCCUAUAUCACCUGGAAACAAGGCUUGCUAGAAGUCUCGGAGCCCAUAUAAGUAUGUGGGUCAAUGUACUGGCUGGUUUUGUGUGUCAACUGGACACAAGCUGGAGUUAUCACAGAGAAAGGAGCCUCCAUUGAAGAAAUGCAUUCCUGAGACCCAGCUGUAAGGCAUUUUCUCAAUUAGUGAUCAAGGGGAGAGGACCCAGCCCACCUAUGGGUGGUGCCAUCUCUGGGCUAGUGGUCUUGGGUUCUAUAAGAAAGCAGGCUGAGCAAGCCAGGGGGAGCCAGCCAGUAAGUAACAUCCCUCCACGGCCUCUGCAUCAGCUCCUGCUUCCUGACCUGCUUGAGUUCCUGUCCUGACUCUCUUUGGUGAUGAACAGCCAUGUGGAAGUGUAAGCUGAAUAAACCCUUUCCUCCCCAGCUUGCUUCUUGGUCACGAUGUUUGUGCGGGAAUAGAAACCCUGACUAAGACAGUCAGCUAUCCCGGGAUGGACAUCUCAGUGGUAGAAACGAGAGAUCCUGCCUGAAAAACCAUGUGGAAGAUACGGGGCUGGAGGAAUGGCUCAGGAGUCAAGGGCACUGGCUGUCCUUUCAGAUAACCAGGGUUCAAUUGGCAGCACCCACUUGACCACUGUCAACUGUAACUCCAGUUCCAGGGCACGGAAUACCCUGCUUCUGGUCUCUGUGAGCUCUAGACAUUCAUGUACACAUACAUACAUACAUACAAGGAAAACACACGUACACAUAAGAUAAUUUAAGAAAAACACAAGGUAGGAGGAGAGAACUGACACACAGGAACAAACCCACAGGGACAUACAACCCACAGGUUUUUUUCUUCCUAUAUAGAUAUAUG